GCUAGGCACAGUGUUGUGUGCCUGUAAUCCCAGUGACUUGGAAGCCUGAGGCAAGAGGUUCGCAAAUUUGAGGCCAGACUCAGCAACUUAGUGAGAACCUGUCUCAA
rnacentral:sRNA from 1 species